CAGGAGUACACUCCCAAUUCCAUCAACUGGAUCUACUGGAGACAGCUACCUUUGAAUUAUCAAUUAGAGAAAGACAUGUAAAGGACACAAUGAGAGGGCACUAUCUGCAAGAUGAGGAGAGAGAACCACCAGAUAUCAACCCCACUGGCAUCUUGACCUUGCACCUCCAGAAUUCAGAACUGACAGGCAAUGACUAUUUGUGGGUAAGACAGCACUGAGAAACAUCCUAGAACACUAGGGGUGAAGCUGAAACAUGCUCCUGCUACACCAUACGCCUACACCAUACAGAACAAGACAGAUUGCAUUGGAAAGGUAAGACCAGCUAUAUUCAGACUGCAUUGCCACUCCCCCAGACCAGCAUGGCACCAUGUGGAGAGAUCUCCUCUGAGCCUAUUGUUCCUCCAGUAGGGAAAGAGGGCAAGAGGGGCCAUCCAGC